rnacentral:rRNA from 1 species
UUAAGCGACUAAGCGUACACGGUGGAUGCCCUGGCAGUCAGAGGCGAUGAAGGACGUGCUAAUCUGCGAAAAGCGUCGGUAAGGUGAUAUGAACCGUUAUAACCGGCGAUGUCCGAAUGGGGAAACCCAGUGCAAUUCGUUGCACUAUCGUUAACUGAAUACAUAGGUUAACGAGGCGAACCGGGGGAACUGAAACAUCUAAGUACCCCGAGGAAAAGAAAUCAACCGAGAUUCCCCCAGUAGCGGCGAGCGAACGGGGAGCAGCCCAGAGUCUGAAUCAGCUUGUGUGUUAGUGGAACGGUCUGGAAAGUCCGACGGUACAGGGUGAUAGUCCCGUACACCAAAAUGCACAGGCUGUGAACUCGAAGAGUAGGGCGGGACACGUGGUAUCCUGUCUGAAUAUGGGGGGACCAUCCUCCAAGGCUAAAUACUCCUGACUGACCGAUAGUGAACCAGUACCGUGAGGGAAAGGCGAAAAGAACCCCGGCGAGGGGAGUGAAAAAGAACCUGAAACCGUGUACGUACAAGCAGUGGGAGCACCUUCGGGUGUGACUGCGUACCUUUUGUAUAAUGGGUCAGCGACUUAUAUUCUGUAGCAAGGUUAACCGUAUAGGGGAGCCGCAGGGAAACCGAGUCUUAACUGGGCGUUAAGUUGCAGGGUAUAGACCCGAAACCCGGUGAUCUAGCCAUGGGCAGGUUGAAGGUUGGGUAACACUAACUGGAGGACCGAACCGACUAAUGUUGAAAAAUUAGCGGAUGACUUGUGGCUGGGGGUGAAAGGCCAAUCAAACCGGGAGAUAGCUGGUUCUCCCCGAAAGCUAUUUAGGUAGCGCCUCGUGAAUUCAUCUUCGGGGGUAGAGCACUGUUUCGGCUAGGGGGUCAUCCCGACUUACCAACCCGAUGCAAACUACGAAUACCGAAGAAUGUUAUCACGGGAGACACACGGCGGGUGCUAACGUCCGUCGUGAAGAGGGAAACAACCCAGACCGCCAGCUAAGGUCCCAAAGUCAUGGUUAAGUGGGAAACGAUGUGGGAAGGCACAGACAGCCAGGAUGUUGGCUUAGAAGCAGCCAUCAUUUAAAGAAAGCGUAAUAGCUCACUGGUCGAGUCGGCCUGCGCGGAAGAUGUAACGGGGCUAAACCAUGCACCGAAGCUGCGGCAGCGACACUAUGUGUUGUUGGGUAGGGGAGCGUUCUGUAAGCCUGCGAAGGUGACCUGUGAGGGUUGCUGGAGGUAUCAGAAGUGCGAAUGCUGACAUAAGUAACGAUAAAGCGGGUGAAAAGCCCGCUCGCCGGAAGACCAAGGGUUCCUGUCCAACGUUAAUCGGGGCAGGGUGAGUCGACCCCUAAGGCGAGGCCGAAAGGCGUAGUCGAUGGGAAACAGGUUAAUAUUCCUGUACUUGGUGUUACUGCGAAGGGGGGACGGAGAAGGCUAUGUUAGCCGGGCGACGGUUGUCCCGGUUUAAGCAUGUAGGCUGAUUAUCCAGGCAAAUCCGGAUAAUCAAGGCUGAGGUGUGAUGACGAGGCACUACGGUGCUGAAGUAACAAAUGCCCUGCUUCCAGGAAAAGCCUCUAAGCAUCAGGUAACAUCAAAUCGUACCCCAAACCGACACAGGUGGUCAGGUAGAGAAUACCAAGGCGCUUGAGAGAACUCGGGUGAAGGAACUAGGCAAAAUGGUGCCGUAACUUCGGGAGAAGGCACGCUGGUGUGUAGGUGAAGUCCCUGCGGAUGGAGCUGAGACCAGUCGAAGAUACCAGCUGGCUGCAACUGUUUAUUAAAAACACAGCACUGUGCAAACACGAAAGUGGACGUAUACGGUGUGACGCCUGCCCGGUGCCGGAAGGUUAAUUGAUGGGGUUAUCCGUAAGGAGAAGCUCUUGAUCGAAGCCCCGGUAAACGGCGGCCGUAACUAUAACGGUCCUAAGGUAGCGAAAUUCCUUGUCGGGUAAGUUCCGACCUGCACGAAUGGCGUAAUGAUGGCCAGGCUGUCUCCACCCGAGACUCAGUGAAAUUGAACUCGCUGUGAAGAUGCAGUGUACCCGCGGCAAGACGGAAAGACCCCGUGAACCUUUACUAUAGCUUGACACUGAACAUUGAGCCUUGAUGUGUAGGAUAGGUGGGAGGCUUUGAAGCGUGGACGCCAGUCUGCGUGGAGCCAACCUUGAAAUACCACCCUUUAAUGUUUGAUGUUCUAACGUUGGCCCCUUACCGGGGUUGCGGACAGUGUCUGGUGGGUAGUUUGACUGGGGCGGUCUCCUCCCAAAGCGUAACGGAGGAGCACGAAGGUUAGCUAAUCCUGGUCGGACAUCAGGAGGUUAGUGCAAUGGCAUAAGCUAGCUUGACUGCGAGCGUGACGGCGCGAGCAGGUGCGAAAGCAGGUCAUAGUGAUCCGGUGGUUCUGAAUGGAAGGGCCAUCGCUCAACGGAUAAAAGGUACUCCGGGGAUAACAGGCUGAUACCGCCCAAGAGUUCAUAUCGACGGCGGUGUUUGGCACCUCGAUGUCGGCUCAUCACAUCCUGGGGCUGAAGUAGGUCCCAAGGGUAUGGCUGUUCGCCAUUUAAAGUGGUACGCGAGCUGGGUUUAGAACGUCGUGAGACAGUUCGGUCCCUAUCUGCCGUGGGCGCUGGAGAAUUGAGGGGGGCUGCUCCUAGUACGAGAGGACCGGAGUGGACGCAUCACUGGUGUUCGGGUUGUCAUGCCAAUGGCACUGCCCGGUAGCUAAAUGCGGAAGAGAUAAGUGCUGAAAGCAUCUAAGCACGAAACUUGCCCCGAGAUGAGUUCUCCCUGAGACUUUAAGUCUCCUGAAGGAACGUU